rnacentral:tRNA from 1 species
GGAGAAGUGGCCGAGUUGGCUGAAGGCGCACGCCUGCUAAGCGUGUAACGGGUGUUAAGCUCGUUCGAGAGUUCGAAUCUCUCCUUCUCCGCCA